AGUGAACGCUGGCGGCAGGCCUAACACAUGCAAGUCGAACGGCAGCACAGUAAGAGCUUGCUCUUACGGGUGGCGAGUGGCGGACGGGUGAGGAAUACAUCGGAAUCUACUUUUUCGUGGGGGAUAACGUAGGGAAACUUACGCUAAUACCUCAUACGACCUACGGGUGAAAGCAGGGGAUCUUCGGACCUUGCGCGAUUGAAUGAGCCGAUGUCGGAUUAGCUAGUUGGCGGGGUAAAGGCCCACCAAGGCGACGAUCCGUAGCUGGUCUGAGAGGAUGAUCAGCCACACUGGAACUGAGACACGGUCCAGACUCCUACGGGAGGCAGCAGUGGGGAAUAUUGGACAAUGGGCGCAAGCCUGAUCCAGCCAUACCGCGUGGGUGAAGAAGGCCUUCGGGUUGUAAAGCCCUUUUGUUGGGAAAGAAAAGCAGCAGGUUAAUACCCCGCUGUUCUGACGGUACCCAAAGAAUAAGCACCGGCUAACUUCGUG
rnacentral:rRNA from 1 species